rnacentral:lncRNA from 1 species
CUCUUUUUUUUAAUCUUAGUUUCUCACCUUUCUAGGUAUAGAGGAAAGCUUGAUGAAGUGAUUCAUCCCAACCCUGACAACCAACGAAAACACACUAGAAAACAAACAACUUCAUGUCAGCUAGUUAAAACCAGGAAAUCCUGAGUGCUCUAAACCCGUGUCAUGAUUUUGGGGGCCUGUCCUGGAUAUCUAAACUUCUGGGGUCUGAUACUGAGGACCUGGCAGCCGCUUCUCCUUGCAGGUGUGUGGAUCUUGAGACUCGCUGGAUGUCCGCCSUUGCCGGUUUCCUGCCUUUUGAAGUGCUUUCAUGUUGCUCUGGAAAGGAUUAGAGCAAAGCUUUGGUUUUAUUGGGCUGCAGGUUCACCACUGAUGUGGUCCCAAAACACUUGUGCUCAGAAACAUGGUUAUAGCGAAG